rnacentral:rRNA from 2 species
GGUUAAGUUAGAAAGGGCGCACGGUGGAUGCCUUGGCACUAGGAGCCGAUGAAGGACGGGACGAACACCGAUAUGCUUCGGGGAGCUGUAAGCAAGCUUUGAUCCGGAGAUUUCCGAAUGGGGAAACCCACCACUCGUAAUGGAGUGGUAUCCAUAUCUGAAUACAUAGGAUAUGAGAAGGCAGACCCGGGGAACUGAAACAUCUAAGUACCCGGAGGAAGAGAAAGCAAAUGCGAUUCCCUGAGUAGCGGCGAGCGAAACGGGACCAGCCCAAACCAAGAGGCUUGCCUCUUGGGGUUGUAGGACACUCUGUACGGAGUUACAAAGGAACGAGGUAGAUGAAGAGGUCUGGAAAGGCCCGCCAUAGGAGGUAACAGCCCUGUAGUCAAAACUUCGUUCUCUCCUGAGUGGAUCCUGAGUACGGCGGAACACGUGAAAUUCCGUCGGAAUCCGGGAGGACCAUCUCCCAAGGCUAAAUACUCCCUAGUGACCGAUAGUGAACCAGUACCGUGAGGGAAAGGUGAAAAGCACCCCGGAAGGGGAGUGAAAGAGAUCCUGAAACCGUGUGCCUACAAGUAGUCAGAGCCCGUUAACGGGUGAUGGCGUGCCUUUUGUAGAAUGAACCGGCGAGUUACGAUCCCGUGCAAGGUUAAGCAGAAGAUGCGGAGCCGCAGCGAAAGCGAGUCUGAAUAGGGCGAAUUGAGUACGUGGUCGUAGACCCGAAACCAGGUGAUCUACCCAUGUCCAGGGUGAAGUUCAGGUAACACUGAAUGGAGGCCCGAACCCACGCACGUUGAAAAGUGCGGGGAUGAGGUGUGGGUAGGGGUGAAAUGCCAAUCGAACCUGGAGAUAGCUGGUUCUCUCCGAAAUAGCUUUAGGGCUAGCCUCAAGGUAAGAGUCUCGGAGGUAGAGCACUGAUUGGACUAGGGGCCCCUACCGGGUUACCGAAUUCAGUCAAACUCCGAAUGCCGAUGACUUAUCCUUGGGAGUCAGACUGCGAGUGAUAAGAUCCGUAGUCGAAAGGGAAACAGCCCAGACCGCCAGCUAAGGUCCCAAAGUAUACGUUAAGUGGAAAAGGAUGUGGAGUUGCUUAGACAACCAGGAUGUUGGCUUAGAAGCAGCCACCAUUUAAAGAGUGCGUAAUAGCUCACUGGUCGAGUGACUCUGCGCCGAAAAUGUACCGGGGCUAAACGUAUCACCGAAGCUGCGGACUGUUCUUCGAACAGUGGUAGGAGAGCGUUCUAAGGGCUGUGAAGCAAGACCGGAAGGACUUGUGGAGCGCUUAGAAGUGAGAAUGCCGGUAUGAGUAGCGAAAGAGGGGUGAGAAUCCCCUCCACCGAAUGCCUAAGGUUUCCUGAGGAAGGCUCGUCCGCUCAGGGUUAGUCGGGACCUAAGCCGAGGCCGAAAGGCGUAGGCGAUGGAUAACAGGUUGAUAUUCCUGUACCACCUCCUCACCAUUUGAGCAAUGGGGGGACGCAGGAGGAUAGGGUAAGCGCGGUAUUGGAUAUCCGCGUCCAAGCAGUUAGGCUAGGAAAUAGGCAAAUCCGUUUCCCGUGAAGGCUGAGCUGUGAUGGCGAGCGAAUUAUAGUAGCGAAGUUCCUGAUUCCACACUGCCAAGAAAAGCCUCUAGCGAGGUGAGAGGUGCCCGUACCGCAAACCGACACAGGUAGGCGAGGAGAGAAUCCUAAGGUGAUCGAGAGAACUCUCGUUAAGGAACUCGGCAAAAUGACCCCGUAACUUCGGGAGAAGGGGUGCUCUGUUAGGGUGCAAGCCCGAGAGAGCCGCAGUGAAUAGGCCCAGGCGACUGUUUAGCAAAAACACAGGUCUCUGCGAAGCCGUAAGGCGAAGUAUAGGGGCUGACGCCUGCCCGGUGCUGGAAGGUUAAGAGGAGCGCUUAGCGUAAGCGAAGGUGCGAAUUGAAGCCCCAGUAAACGGCGGCCGUAACUAUAACGGUCCUAAGGUAGCGAAAUUCCUUGUCGGGUAAGUUCCGACCCGCACGAAAGGCGCAACGAUCUGGGCACUGUCUCAACGAGAGACUCGGUGAAAUUAUAGUACCUGUGAAGAUGCAGGUUACCCGCGACAGGACGGAAAGACCCCGUGGAGCUUUACUGCAGCCUGAUAUUGAAUGUUGGUACAGCUUGUACAGGAUAGGUAGGAGCCUUGGAAACCGGAGCGCCAGCUUCGGUGGAGGCAUCGGUGGGAUACUACCCUGGCUGUAUUGACCUUCUAACCCGCCGCCCUUAUCGGGCGGGGAGACAGUGUCAGGUGGGCAGUUUGACUGGGGCGGUCGCCUCCUAAAAGGUAACGGAGGCGCCCAAAGGUUCCCUCAGAAUGGUUGGAAAUCAUUCGCAGAGUGUAAAGGCACAAGGGAGCUUGACUGCGAGACCUACAAGUCGAGCAGGGACGAAAGUCGGGCUUAGUGAUCCGGUGGUUCCGCAUGGAAGGGCCAUCGCUCAACGGAUAAAAGCUACCCCGGGGAUAACAGGCUUAUCUCCCCCAAGAGUCCACAUCGACGGGGAGGUUUGGCACCUCGAUGUCGGCUCAUCGCAUCCUGGGGCUGUAGUCGGUCCCAAGGGUUGGGCUGUUCGCCCAUUAAAGCGGUACGCGAGCUGGGUUCAGAACGUCGUGAGACAGUUCGGUCCCUAUCCGUCGCGGGCGCAGGAAAUUUGAGAGGAGCUGUCCUUAGUACGAGAGGACCGGGAUGGACGCACCGCUGGUGUACCAGUUGUUCUGCCAAGGGCAUCGCUGGGUAGCUAUGUGCGGACGGGAUAAGUGCUGAAAGCAUCUAAGCAUGAAGCCCCCCUCAAGAUGAGAUUUCCCAUUCCGCAAGGAAGUAAGAUCCCUGAAAGAUGAUCAGGUUGAUAGGUCUGAGGUGGAAGUGUGGCGACACAUGGAGCUGACAGAUACUAAUCGAUCGAGGACUUAACCAA